rnacentral:rRNA from 1 species
GAUGAACGCUGGCGGCGUGCCUAAUACAUGCAAGUCGAGCGAACAGACGAGAAGCUUGCUUCUCUGAUGUUAGCGGCGGACGGGUGAGUAACACGUGGAUAACCUACCUAUAAGACUGGGAUAACUUCGGGAAACCGGAGCUAAUACCGGAUAAUAUUUUGAACCGCAUGGUUCAAUAGUGAAAGACGGUCUUGCUGUCACUUAUAGAUGGAUCCGCGCCGCAUUAGCUAGUUGGUAAGGUAACGGCUUACCAAGGCAACGAUGCAUAGCCGACCUGAGAGGGUGAUCGGCCACACUGGAACUGAGACACGGUCCAGACUCCUACGGGAGGCAGCAGUAGGGAAUCUUCCGCAAUGGGCGAAAGCUUGACGGAGCAACGCCGCGUGAGUGAUGAAGGUCUUCGGAUCGUAAAACUCUGUUAUUAGGGAAGAACAUAUGUGUAAGUAACUGUGCACAUCUUGACGGUACCUAAUCAGAAAGCCACGGCUAACUACGUG